UUCAAAAAGCGUUAAAAACUUGCAUUUACGCCAUAGUCAAAUCACAGCGGAAUUUGUAUCUAAGUGCGCUAUCACAUGGCCGAUCAAAUAAAAGAUAAAAUUUAUUUGCGUAAAAGAGAAAAAUGUCACCCAGAAAAUCUUGCAAAGUUCUAUAUUCAAAGAAAAAUUGAUCAAGAAGGAUUUUUCAAAGUUAAAAUUAAUGACACUAUAGGUUAUGGUGUAUUUACAACAAAUAAAUUUCUGAAAGGAAACU